rnacentral:rRNA from 1 species
UAAGCGUGAAGCCCCCCUCAAGAUGAGAUAUCCCAUUCGAAAGAAGUAAGACCCCUUGAAGACGACGAGGUAGAUAGGGCAGAGGUGGAAGUGCCGUAAGGCAUGGAGCUGACUGUUACUAAUCGGUCGAGGGCUUGACCUA